CCUACGGGAGGCAGCAGUGAGGAAUAUUGGUCAAUGGACGAGAGUCUGAACCAGCCAAGUAGCGUGAAGGAUGACUGCCCUAUGGGUUGUAAACUUCUUUUAUAAAGGAAUAAAACGAGGCACGUGUGCCUUUUUGCAUGUACUUUAUGAAUAAGGAUCGGCUAACUCCGUGCCAGCAGCCGCGGUAAUACGGAGGAUCCGAGCGUUAUCCGGAUUUAUUUGGGUUUAAGGGAGCGUAGAUGGGGUGUUAAGUCAGUUGUGAAAGUUUGCGGCUCAACCGUAAAAUUGCAAUUGAUACUGGCAGUCUUGAGUACAGUUGAGGUAGGCGGAAUUCGUGGUGUAGCGGUGAAAUGCUUAGAUAUCACGAAGAACCCCGAUUGCGAAGGCAGCUUACUAAACUGUGACUGACAUUGAUGCUCGAAAGUGUGGGUAUCAAACAGGAUUAGAUACCCUUGUAGUC
rnacentral:rRNA from 1 species